rnacentral:misc_RNA from 1 species
AACGCAUAUUGCGCUCUCUGGUAUUCCGGAGAGCAUGCUUGUUUGAGUAUCAGUAAACACCUCAACUUUCAUAUCUUUUUUGAAAUGGGAGUUGGACUUGAGUGAUCCCAACGCUUUUCCUUACCGAAAAGUGGCGGGUUACUUGAAAUGCAGGUGCAGCUGGACUUUUCUCUGAGCUAUAAGCAUAUCUAUUUAGUCUGCCUAAAAAACAGAUUAUUACCUUUGCUGCAGCUAACAUAAAGGAGAUUAGUUCUUGUGCUGACUGAUGCAGGAUUCACAAAGACAGGCUUCGGCCGACUUUGUAAACUCGAUCUCAAAUCAAGUAAGACUACCCGCUGAACUUAA